rnacentral:rRNA from 1 species
UACGAAGGGUGCUAGCGUUGUUCGGAAUUACUGGGCGUAAAGCGCGCGUAGGCGGCUUCUCAAGUCAGGGGUGAAAUCCCACGGCUCAACCGUGGAAUUGCCUUUGAAACUGUGAAGCUGGAGUGUCGGAGGGGAUAGCGGAAUUCCUAAUGUAGAGGUGAAAUCCGUAGAUAUUAGGAGGAACACCGGUGGCGAAGGCGGCUAUCUGGACGACAACUGACGCUGAGGCGCGAAAGCGUGGGGAUCAAACAGG